AAUUUGGAAACUCUUACUACAUUAUUGCUUGGUUGGUGUGAGCAAUUAGAGAAGGUGCCAUCUUUUUCCAAACUUCAAGCUUUAAAAAAGUUAGACCUUAGUAGAACAACUAUCAAGCAUAUACCUCAUGGGAUGGAAAGGUUGGUAAAUCUCAAAUAUCUUGAUUUGAGUAACACGCAAAUAACAGAGGUGCCAUCUUUUUCCAAACUUCAAGCUUUAAAAAAGUUAGACCUUAGAAGAACAACUAUCAAGCAUAUACCUCAUGGGAUGGAAAGGUUGGUAAAUCUCAAAUAUCUUGAUUUGAGUAACACGCAAAUAACAGAGAUGGCCGAUGGAAUAUUGGCAAAAUUGACAUCCCU
rnacentral:lncRNA from 1 species